rnacentral:misc_RNA from 1 species
UCUCCGUUGGUGAACCAGCGGAGGGAUCAUUAUCGAGUUAAUAACUCCCAAACCCUAUGUGAACUUACCACUUGUUGCUUCGGCGCGCGCUUCGGCGCCGCCGAGGACACUUAAACUCUUUGUUUUUAUAAGCAUUUCUGAGUGGCCGAAAGGCAAAAUACAAAUGAAUCAAAACUUUCAACAACGGAUCUCUUGGUUCUG